rnacentral:rRNA from 1 species
AAAAAAGGUAAGCUACUAAGAGCGAAUGGUGGAUGCCUUGACUGGUAAAGGCGAUGAAGGACGUACUAGACUGCGAUAAGCUACGGGGAGCUGUCAAGAAGCUUUGAUCCGUAGAUUUCCGAAUGGGGCAACCCAAUGUAUAGAGAUAUACAUUACCUAUAUAGGAGCGAACGAGGGGAAUUGAAACAUCUUAGUACCCUCAGGAAAAGAAAUCAAUAGAGAUUGCGUCAGUAGCGGCGAGCGAAAGCGCAAGAGGGCAAACCCAGUGCUUGCACUGGGGGUUGUAGGACUGCAAUGUGCAAGAGGUAAGUUUAGCAGAACAUUCUGGAAAGUAUAACCAUAGAGGGUGAUAGUCCCGUAUGCGAAAAACAAACCUUAGCUAGCAGUAUCCUGAGUAGGGCGGGACACGAGGAAUCCUGUCUGAAUCUGGGUCGACCACGAUCCAACCCUAAAUACUAAUACCAGAUCGAUAGUGCACAAGUACCGUGAGGGAAAGGUGAAAAGAACUGAGGUGAUCAGAGUGAAAUAGAACCUGAAACCAUUUGCUUACAAUCAUUCAGAGCCCUAUGUAGCAAUACAGGGUGAUGGACUGCCUUUUGCAUAAUGAGCCUGCGAGUUGUGGUGUCUGGCAAGGUUAAGCAAACGCGAAGCCGUAGCGAAAGCGAGUCUGAAUAGGGCGCUUAGUCAGAUGCUGCAGACCCGAAACGAAGUGAUCUAUCCAUGAGCAAGUUGAAGCUAGUGUAAGAACUAGUGGAGGACUGAACCCAUAGGCGUUGAAAAGCCCCGGGAUGACUUGUGGAUAGGGGUGAAAGGCCAAUCAAACUUCGUGAUAGCUGGUUCUCUCCGAAAUAUAUUUAGGUAUAGCGUUGUGUCGUAAUAUAAGGGGGUAGAGCACUGAAUGGGCUAGGGCAUACACCAAUGUACCAAACCCUAUCAAACUCCGAAUACCUUAUAUGUAAUCACAGCAGUCAGGCGGCGAGUGAUAAAAUCCGUCGUCAAGAGGGAAACAACCCAGACUACCAGCUAAGGUCCCUAAAUCUUACUUAAGUGGAAAACGAUGUGAAGUUACUUAAACAACCAGGAGGUUGGCUUAGAAGCAGCCAUCCUUUAAAGAAAGCGUAAUAGCUCACUGGUCUAGUGAUUUUGCGCGGAAAAUAUAACGGGGCUAAAGUAAGUACCGAAGCUGUAGACUUGCACACAACUUAGAUUAUUUAAGUUUAGAAUAUGAGAAACUAAGUUAUAUGUUUAGUUAUAUUUUUACUGAUUUUUAUAGAGUAAAGAUAGAAAUAAAACUUAGUAAAAUCAGUAAAAAUAUUCUUAGACUAAAGUUAAGUAGUUUAAGUUGUGUGCAAGUGGUAGGAGAGCGUUCUAUUUGCGUCGAAGGUAUACCGGUAAGGAGUGCUGGAGCGAAUAGAAGUGAGCAUGCAGGCAUGAGUAGCGAUAAUUAAUGUGAGAAUCAUUAACGCCGUAAACCCAAGGUUUCCUACGCGAUGCUCGUCAUCGUAGGGUUAGUCGGGUCCUAAGUCGAGUCCGAAAGGGGUAGACGAUGGCAAAUUGGUUAAUAUUCCAAUACCAACAUUAGUGUGCGAUGGAAGGACGCUUAGGGCUAAGGGGGCUAGCGGAUGGAAGUGCUAGUCUAAGGUCGUAGGAGGUUAUACAGGCAAAUCCGUAUAACAAUACUCCGAGAACUGAAAGGCUUUUUGAAGUCUUCGGAUGGAUAGAAGAACCCCUGAUGCCGUCGAGCCAAGAAAAGUUUCUAAGUUUAGCUAAUGUUGCCCGUACCGUAAACCGACACAGGUGGGUGGGAUGAGUAUUCUAAGGCGCGUGGAAGAACUCUCUUUAAGGAACUCUGCAAAAUAGCACCGUAUCUUCGGUAUAAGGUGUGGUUCGCUUCGUAUUAGGAUUUACUCCGAAAGCGAAGAAACUUACAACAAAGAGUCCCUCCCGACUGUUUACCAAAAACACAGCACUCUGCUAACUCGUAAGAGGAUGUAUAGGGUGUGACGCCUGCCCGGUGCUCGAAGGUUAAUUGAUGGGGUUAGCAUUAGCGAAGCUCUUGAUCGAAGCCCGAGUAAACGGCGGCCGUAACUAUAACGGUCCUAAGGUAGCGAAAUUCCUUGUCGGUUAAAUACCGACCUGCAUGAAUGGCGUAACGAGAUGGGAGCUGUCUCAAAGAGGGAUCCAGUGAAAUUGUAGUGGAGGUGAAAAUUCCUCCUACCCGCGGCAAGACGGAAAGACCCCGUGGACCUUUACUACAGCUUGACACUGCUACUUGGAUAAGAAUGUGCAGGAUAGGUGGGAGGCUUUGAGUAUAUGACGCCAGUUGUAUAUGAGCCAUUGUUGAGAUACCACUCUUUCUUAUUUGGGUAGCUAACCAGCUUGAGUUAUCCUCAAGUGGGACAAUGUCUGGUGGGUAGUUUGACUGGGGCGGUCGCCUCCCAAAUAAUAACGGAGGCUUACAAAGGUUGGCUCAGAACGGUUGGAAAUCGUUCGUAGAGUAUAAAGGUAUAAGCCAGCUUAACUGCAAGACAUACAAGUCAAGCAGAGACGAAAGUCGGUCUUAGUGAUCCGGUGGUUCUGUGUGGAAGGGCCAUCGCUCAAAGGAUAAAAGGUACCCCGGGGAUAACAGGCUGAUCUCCCCCAAGAGCUCACAUCGACGGGGAGGUUUGGCACCUCGAUGUCGGCUCAUCGCAUCCUGGGGCUGGAGCAGGUCCCAAGGGUAUGGCUGUUCGCCAUUUAAAGCGGUACGCGAGCUGGGUUCAGAACGUCGUGAGACAGUUCGGUCCCUAUCUGCCGUGGGCGUAAGAAGAUUGAAGAGAUUUGACCCUAGUACGAGAGGACCGGGUUGAACAAACCACUGGUGUAGCUGUUGUUCUGCCAAGAGCAUCGCAGCGUAGCUAAGUUUGGAAAGGAUAAACGCUGAAAGCAUCUAAGCGUGAAGCCAACUCUAAGAUGAAUCUUCUCUAAGCUCUCUAGAAGACUACUAGUUUGAUAGGCUGGGUGUGUAAUGGAUGAAAGUCCUUUAGCUGACCAGUACUAAUAGAGCGUUUGGCUUAUCUUUAAUAAAGCAU